rnacentral:rRNA from 1 species
CAUGAAGCUGGAAUCGCUAGUAAUCGCGGAUCAGAAUGCCGCGGUGAAUACGUUCCCGGGUCUUGUACACACCGCUCGUCACACCAUGGGAGUCGGGAAUGCCCGAAGUCAGUGACCCAACCGGAAAGGGGGGAGCUGCCGAAGGCAGGCCUGGUAACUGGGGUGAAGUCGUAACAAGGUACC